GACUCUUGGAAAUGGAUGUCUCGGCUCUUGCAUUGAUGAAGAACGUAGCAAAAUGCGAUACUUGGUGUGAAUUACAGAAUCCCAUGAAUUAUCGAGUCUUUGAGUGCAAGUUGCACCCUAGGCCAUCGGGCUGAGGGUACACCUGCCUGGGCAUCA